GCCUUUAUUGACAAAAGAGUCACUUGCAACAUUAGACGAUGGAAUGUGGCUGAAUGACAUUGUCAUGGACAUUGUAUUGAGGUCUGUUCAUGAUGAACUAGGACGUAAUAAAAGGCGGAAAACUUUGAUCUACCAAGUGCAUUUUUACACUAAAUUGAAAAACAGUGGAUUUUCAGGUGUCGUCAACUGGACAAAACACAAGG